rnacentral:tRNA from 1 species
GGGGUCGUGGUCUAGCUUGGUCUAAGAUUCGCGGCUCGGGUCCGCGAGGUCCCCGGUUCAAAUCCGGGCGUCCCCACCA